rnacentral:rRNA from 1 species
UACAGAGGUCUCGAGCGUUAGGCGGAAUCACUGGGCUUAAAGCGUGUGUAGGCGGAUCGUUAAGUGCCUUGUGAAAUCCCACGGCUCAACCGUGGAACUGCUUGGCAUACUAGCGGUCUUGAGCAACCUAGGGGCGAGCGGAACAAAUGGUGGAGCGGUGAAAUGCGUAGAUAUCAUUUGGAACGCCAAUGGUGAAAACAGCUCGCUGGGGGUUUGCUGACGCUGAGACACGAAAGCCAGGGGAGCAAACGGG